rnacentral:lncRNA from 13 species
AAUCAUGUUGAUGCUAUUGAAACAAAAUGGCUCUGCUUUGAUUAUAUUUCAAAACUACAGAAGAUAAAAACAGAGGCCAGGUAAUCCUCGGUACCAUGGACUGAGAGAAGGCAGCAAAGGCUAGACACUGUGAAUUAAUGUAACAAGCAGAAAGCAGACAAAAAGGAACAAAGCAAUAGAGUCCUUACAGGAAUGAUGUGCUUUUGGAAAAAAAAAUUAGAAGUAUAUUUUAAGGAAUUUUAUUUAUCUCAGAUCGCCUCUGUUUCCUGAACAAUGGGUGUCAGUCUUAUCUCUGCCUAGAUACACUGUCACGUGAAAGCUCCCAUCUGUAGAUCCCACCCCAUUUCAAAACCUACAAAUAUAUUUAGCCUCUCAAAAUUCUUUCACAGAACCAGGAAACAGCAGCUCUCUGUCACCAGUCUGCUCCUGACUUUUGGAAGAGAUUUAUUUUACCACCAUGGAUAGGAGCAGUGGGUCUGAUGUUAGAUGUUCGCAGCUGUAUUGAACAAAUUCUGCAGAAUGAGUAGAAAGAAGAUAUUAGUUAUCAUAAUGUGCAUGAACUUGGACUUCAAUGCAAAAUUUAUAAAGAAGAUCAAAUGGAUCAUUUCUACUAAAUAAGGUAGGUCUUGGUGAAUAAUAGCAUACAAAAAUAUGCUCAAUAAAUGUAACCUUUAUACUCAUAAAAGUGCUCUUUUUUCUUUUUUUUUUUUUUUUUUAAAGGGGAGUGUUUGAAGUCUUUUGCUGUAAUGCUGAUUGUAAGUAUUUGAAAUGUAGUUACUGAAAUUUAAUCUCUCAUUUAGGGGUAGUGACAAAUCACAUACUGUUGGUUCCACUUCCUGACUGUAU